rnacentral:rRNA from 1 species
UGACUAUAGCAUCAGGGUUCCACCUCUUCCCAUUCCGAACAGAGAAGUUAAGCCUGAUCACGCCGAUGGUACUGCGUAACAGUGGGAGAGUAGGUAGUCG